CCUACGGGAGGCAGCAGUGGGGAAUAUUGCACAAUGGGGGAAACCCUGAUGCAGCGACGCCGCGUGAGUGAAGAAGUAUUUCGGUAUGUAAAGCUCUAUCAGCAGGGAAGAAAAUGACGGUACCUGAUUAAGAAGCCCCGGCUAACUACGUGCCAGCAGCCGCGGUAAUACGUAGGGGGCAAGCGUUAUCCGGAUUUACUGGGUGUAAAGGGAGCGUAGACGGCAGCACAAGUCUGGAGUGAAAUGCCGGGGCUUAACCCCGGAACUGCCUUGGAAACUGUGGAGCUAGGGUGCAGGAGAGGUAAGUGGAAUUCCUGGUGUAGCGGUGAAAUGCGUAGAUAUUAGGAGGAACACCAGUGGCGAAGGCGGCUUACUGGACUGUAACUGACGUUGAGGCUCGAAAGCGUGGGGAGCAAACAGGAUUAGAUACCCGAGUAGUC
rnacentral:rRNA from 1 species